CCCAACUAUCCCUAUUAAUCAUUACAUCGAUCCUAGAAACCAACAAAAUAGAAUCGGAUGUCCUAUUUCAUUAUUCCAUGCUAAUGUAUUCAAGCGUUAGCCUGCUUUAAACACUCUAAUUUUUUCAAGGUAACAGUCCUAAUUUCCCACAACAUCAAAUAAAUGACAUCAUGGUUCCUUAGAAGGUGAGAACCAAUGAAAUCAGUACAUACCGAGGGCAUGACCAACCCAUUGAUCCCGAAAUUCAACUACGAGCUUUUUAACUGCAACAACUUUAAUAUACGCUAUUGGAGCUGGAAUUACCGCGGCUGCUGGCACCAGACUUGCCCUCCAA
rnacentral:misc_RNA from 1 species